rnacentral:rRNA from 1 species
AUACGUAGGGGGCAAGCGUUAUCCGGAUUUACUGGGUGUAAAGGGAGCGUAGACGGCAAAGCAAGUCUGAAGUGAAAGCCCCGGGCUCAACCCGGGAAUUGCUUUGGAAACUGUUUAGCUGGAGUGCAGGAGAGGUAAGCGGAAUUCCUAGUGUAGCGGUGAAAUGCGUAGAUAUUAGGAGGAACACCGGCGGCGAAGGCGGAUUACUGGACUGUAACUGACGUUGAGGCUCGAAAGCGUGGGGAGCAAACAGGAUUAGAUACCCUGGUAGUCCACGCCGUAAACGAUGAUUACUAGGUGUUGGUUGUCAUAGACAAUCGGUGCCGCAGCAAACGCAAUAAGUAAUCCACCUGGGGAGUACGUUCGCAAGAAUGAAACUCAAAUGAAUUGACGGGG